AAAUGUGGCUCUUUUUCAUGGUGCUAUUUUCUAUGUCCAGCUACACAACGAGAUGAGGAUGGUCAUUGUUAUUUUCUGAGCUGCGAACGGGCAGAAAGCUAACCAACGAGAUGAGGAUGGUCAUUGUCAUUUUCUAAGCUGCGAACGGGCAGAAAGCUACAUAACGAGAUGAGGAUGGUCAUUGUCAUUUUCUGAGCUGCGAACGGACAGAAAG